AGACAGAGCAACUCUUCUUCGUGGUUUCGUCUCAAGAUACAGUGCAGCUCAGCUCCAGGCCCUUUCAAUGGCCCCAGAGCACUCUGAAAGACUCUUCUACUAUGUGCGGCCAAGAUUACUAGUCCAGAGGUCAGACCAGAAGUGGAAGGUAUUGGGCAAAUGCCCACAGACUUCACAUUCGGGAACAGCAAGGGACAGCUUCUACAAUCUCUCUGAAAGAUCUCAGUAGGACUGAACCCACUGCUCCAGCACACACUGCUCGUUAGCGUACCGGAACAAGAGAUUACGUACUAGGGCCGGGAAGAAGGAAAUAUUCGUAACAACUGAACUUUCCAGAUGUGGUCAAAGCUUGGCUUCUCUUCUCUGGCAGUUGGCCUGCCUGCCAGGAUGCCUGCCCCUGUGAGCCCCCAUCCUCUGGCAGCUCCAGCCCAUGGGAAUUCAUCACCUCUGCUGGGACAGCAGCUUCUGCCCUUCUGCCAUAUAUAACAGCAAACGUUCCUUUCUCUUUAUGCCAACU